UGGACAAAUUAUUGUAUUCGACUGUAUUCACGGCAUGAAAUAGGGAAUUACACUGUUUUUAAAACGGAAAGUGAAUCAAUUAACAUAAUAGACUCUU
rnacentral:pre_miRNA from 1 species